rnacentral:rRNA from 1 species
GACGAACGCUGGCGGCGUGCCUAAUACAUGCAAGUUGAGCGCUGAAGGUUGGUACUUGUACCGACUGGAUGAGCAGCGAACGGGUGAGUAACGCGUGGGGAAUCUGCCUUUGAGCGGGGGACAACAUUUGGAAACGAAUGCUAAUACCGCAUAAAAACUUUAAACACAAGUUUUAAGUUUGAAAGAUGCAAUUGCAUCACUCAAAGAUGAUCCCGCGUUGUAUUAGCUAGUUGGUGAGGUAAAGGCUCACCAAGGCGAUGAUACAUAGCCGACCUGAGAGGGUGAGCGGCCACAUUGGGACUGAGACACGGCCCAAACUCCUACGGGAGGCAGCAGUAGGGAAUCUUCGGCAAUGGACGAAAGUCUGACCGAGCAACGCCGCGUGAGUGAAGAAGGUUUUCGGAUCGUAAAACUUUGUUGGUAGAGAAGAACGUUUGUGAGAGUGGAAAGCUCAUCAAGUGACGGUAACUACCCAGAAAGGGACGGCUAACUACGUG